AUUGAACGCUGGCGGCAUGCCUUACACAUGCCAGUCGAACGGCAGCAUGAUCUAGCUUGCUAGAUUGAUGGCGAGUGGCGAACGGGUGAGUAAUACAUCGGAACGUGCCCUGUAGUGGGGGAUAACUAGUCGAAAGAUUAGCUAAUACCGCAUACGACCUGAGGGUGAAAGUGGGGGACCGCAAGGCCUCAUGCUAUAGGAGCGGCCGAUGUCUGAUUAGCUAGUUGGUGAGGUAAAGGCUCACCAAGGCGACGAUCAGUAGCUGGUCUGAGAGGACGAUCAGCCACACUGGGACUGAGACACGGCCCAGACUCCUACGGGAGGCAGCAGUGGGGAAUUUUGGACAAUGGGCGAAAGCCUGAUCCAGCAAUGCCGCGUGUGUGAAGAAGGCCUUCGGGUUGUAAAGCACUUUUGUCCGGAAAGAAAUGGCUCUGGUUAAUACCUGGGGUCGAUGGCGGUACCGGAAGAAUAAGGACCGGCUAACUACGUG
rnacentral:rRNA from 1 species